GGCGAAUCUCAGGUGACACACCCCGGAAUCGGGCUCCCUCCUCUCUGGUUCUGGGCAUGUCACCCGAGAACCUCA
rfam:Myotis lucifugus cont2.30171, whole genome shotgun sequence.